rnacentral:rRNA from 4 species
UAUACCGUGAAACUGCGAAUGGCUCAUUAAAUCAGUUAUCGUUUAUUUGAUAGUACCUUACUACUUGGAUAACCGUGGUAAUUCUAGAGCUAAUACAUGCUGAAAACCCCAACUUCGGGAGGGGUGUAUUUAUUAGAUAAAAAACCAAUGCCCUUCGGGGCUUCUUGGUGAUUCAUGAUAACUUUACGGAUCGCAUGGCCUUGCGCCGGCGACGGUUCAUUCAAAUUUCUGCCCUAUCAACUUUCGAUGGUAAGGUAUUGGCUUACCAUGGUUUCAACGGGUAACGGGGAAUUAGGGUUCGAUUCCGGAGAGGGAGCCUGAGAAACGGCUACCACAUCCAAGGAAGGCAGCAGGCGCGCAAAUUACCCAAUCCCGACACGGGGAGGUAGUGACAAUAAAUACUGAUACAGGGCUCUUUUGGGUCUUGUAAUUGGAAUGAGUACAAUUUAAACCUCUUAACGAGGAACAAUUGGAGGGCAAGUCUGGUGCCAGCAGCCGCGGUAAUUCCAGCUCCAAUAGCGUAUAUUAAAGUUGUUGCAGUUAAAAAGCUCGUAGUUGAAACUUGGGUCUGGCUGGCAGGUCCGCCUCACCGCGUGUACUUGUCCGGCCGGGCCUUCCUUCUGGAGAACCUCAUGCCCUUCAUUGGGCGUGUUGGGGACCAGGACUUUUACUUUGAAAAAAUUAGAGUGUUCAAAGCAGGCCUUUGCUCGAAUACGUUAGCAUGGAAUAAUAGAAUAGGACGUGCGGUCCUAUUUUGUUGGUUUCUAGGACCGCCGUAAUGAUUAAUAGGGACAGUCGGGGGCAUCAGUAUUCAAUUGUCAGAGGUGAAAUUCUUGGAUUUAUUGAAGACUAACUACUGCGAAAGCAUUUGCCAAGGAUGUUUUCAUUAAUCAGUGAACGAAAGUUAGGGGAUCGAAGACGAUCAGAUACCGUCGUAGUCUUAACCGUAAACUAUGCCGACUAGGGAUCGGGCGAUGUUCUUUUUCUGACUCGCUCGGCACCUUACGAGAAAUCAAAGUU